CCCUUAGAUGUUCUGGGCCGCACGCGCGCUACACUGAUGCAUUCAACGAGCCUAUCCUUGACCGACAGGUCCGGGUAAUCUUUGAAUCUGCAUCGUGACGGGGAUAGAUUAUUGCAAUUAUUAAUCUUCAACGAGGAAUGCCUAGUAGGCGCAAGUCAUCAACUUGCGUUGAUUACGUCCCUGCCCUUUGUACACACCGCCCGUCGCUAGUACCGAUUGAAUGGCUUAGUGAGGCUUCAGGAUUGGUUCAGAGAAGGGGGCAACUCCAUCUUGGAACCGAGAAUUUAGUCAAACUUGGUCAUUUAGAGGAACUAAAAGUCGUAACA
rnacentral:rRNA from 1 species